AGAGUGAACGCUGGCGGUAGGCCUAACACAUGCAAGUCGAACGGCAGCACAGUAGGAGCUUGCUCUUACGGGUGGCGAGUGGCGGACGGGUGAGGAAUACAUCGGAAUCUACCUUUUGGUGGGGGAUAACGUAGGGAAACUUACGCUAAUACCGCAUACGCCCUUCGGGGGAAAGCCGGGGACCAGCAAUGGCCUGGUGCUGAUAGAUGAGCCGAUGUCGGAUUAGCUAGUUGGUGAGGUAAUGGCUCACCAAGGCGACGAUCCGUAGCUGGUCUGAGAGGAUGAUCAGCCACACUGGAACUGAGACACGGUCCAGACUCCGUACGGGAGCAGCAGUGGGGAAUAGUUGGACAAGU
rnacentral:rRNA from 1 species